UAGGGAAUCUUCGGCAAUGGACGAAAGUCUGACCGAGCAACGCCGCGUGAGUGAAGAAGGUUUUCGGAUCGUAAAACUCUGUUGUUAGAGAAGAACAAGGACGUUAGUAACUGAACGUCCCCUGACGGUAUCUAACCAGAAAGCCACGGCUAACUACGUGCCAGAAGCCGCGGUAAUACGUAGGUGGCAAGCGUUGUCCGGAUUUAUUGGGCGUAAAGCGAGCGCAGGCGGUUUCUUAAGUCUGAUGUGAAAGCCCCCGGCUCAAACGGGGAGGGUAAUUGGAAGCUGGGAGACUUGAGUGCAGAAGAGGAGAGUGGAAUUCCAUGUGUAGCGGUGAAAUGCGUAGAUAUAUGGAGGAACACCAGUGGCGAAGGCGGCUCUCUGGUCUGUAACUGACGCUGAGGCUCGAAAGCGUGGGGAGCAAACAGG
rnacentral:rRNA from 1 species